UGUGGUCAGUGAUGCUUUUUUUUACCUACAUUGUCCGAACACAGUGAGAGAUAAAAACAAACUGAGACCACA
rnacentral:snoRNA from 1 species